AUGAACCUUGGUCUUACUUUUACCAAGUCCUCAUCCACACUGGUCAGUGCUUUCUCUGACUCUGACUGGGCAGGAUGUGUAGAUGACAGACGCUCCACUGGUGGGUUUGCAGUGUUCUUUGGUCCCAACUUAAUAUCAUGGUGUGCAAAGAAACAAGCUACCGUGUCACGAUCAAGCACAGAAGCUGAGUACAAGGCCCUAGCCAAUGCCACAGUUGAGAUCAUUUGGGUUCAGUCCAUGUUGAGAGAGCUUGGUGUGAGAAACACUCAAGCCCCAUGCUUGUGGUGUGACAAUCUUGGUGCUACUUAUCUAUCUGCUAAUCCCGUUUUUCAUGCAAGGACUAAACAUAUUGAAAUUGAUUUUCAUUUUGUUAGAGAACGAGUUGCCAAUAAGCAAUUGGACAUUCGUUUUGUACAUUCUCGAGAUCAGGUUGCAGAUGGAUUCACCAAAGCCUUCCACAAGAAACUUUGA
rnacentral:rRNA from 1 species